CCUACGGGGGGCAGCAGUGGGGAAUAUUGCACAAUGGGGGGAACCCUGAUGCAGCGACGCCGCGUGGGUGAGGAAGUACUUCGGUAUGUAAAGCCCUAUCAGCAGGGAAGAAAAUGACGGUACCUGACUAAGAAGCCCCGGCUAACUACGUGCCAGCAGCCGCGGUAAUACGUAGGGGGCAAGCGUUAUCCGGAUUUACUGGGUGUAAAGGGAGCGUAGACGGCGUGCCAAGUCUGAUGUGAAAGGCCGGGGCUCAACCCCGGGACUGCAUUGGAAACUGGCAUGCUGGAGUGCCGGAGGGGCAAGCGGAAUUCCUAGUGUAGCGGUGAAAUGCGUAGAUAUUAGGAGGAACACCGGUGGCGAAGGCGGCUUGCUGGACGGUAACUGACGUUGAGGCUCGAAAGCGUGGGGAGCAAACAGGAUUAGAUACCC
rnacentral:rRNA from 1 species